AUGUCCAGAUUAGCAAGAAAUCACUCAAAACUAAUGUGUACUAUAUGUUAUAUUCUGAUCUAUCUAUGCAUACGCCCUGUAUGGGUGAGGAGCUGCACCUUUCCAAAUUUUACAUGGCCAAAGUUCUGCAGGUGUAUGGGGUUUCUUCAGGACCAACAGCGUGGAUGUUCAGGCGAGAUAGCCAUGAUGGGAACACGAUUCAUAUGCUUCAGUUCCAUCCAUGCUCAGGCCAAUAUGCAAAUUGCUGGUGGAGGACAACAGGGUCGACGAGAUGCACAAUUCCUAUGCUUCAGGCGACACAGCCAUGAUGGGAACACGACUCAUAUUCUUCAGUCUCUAUUUCGACUAAGCUGUGAUUAG
rnacentral:rRNA from 1 species